AUAAUUUCUCAGCCUUCAGGCUAAGACCAAAUGUAGUAUCUGUUACUUAGCUAUAGGCUACAUUUCACAAAGAAAUGCUGUUAUUAUUCCCUUAAUGAUAUAAUAAAUGUCAAUUACUUUAAAAAAUUUAAAAAUCCAUGACAAAUCAGUUCACCCCCAGUGCUGAGGAGCAGAGCUUUC
ensembl:snRNA U2 U2 spliceosomal RNA